rnacentral:tRNA from 1 species
GGGUCGUUAGCUCAGCGGUAGAGCACUACCUUGACACGGUAGGGGUCAGUGGUUCGAUCCCACUACGACCCACAA